rnacentral:rRNA from 1 species
CGAAUGCUGACAUAAGUAACGAUAAAGCGGGUGAAAAGCCCGCUCGCCGGAAGACCAAGGGUUCCUGUCCAACGUUAAUCGGGGCAGGGUGAGUCGACCCCUAAGGCGAGGCCGAAAGGCGUAGUCGAUGGGAAACAGGUUAAUAUUCCUGUACUUGGUGUUACUGCGAAGGGGGGACGGAGAAGGCUAUGUUGGCCGGGCGACGGUUGUCCCGGUUUAAGCGUGUAGGCUGGUUUUCCAGGCAAAUCCGGAAAAUCAAGGCUGAGGCGUGAUGACGAGGCACUACGGUGCUGAAGCAACAAAUGCCCUGCUUCCAGGAAAAGCCUCUAAGCAUCAGGUAACAUCAAAUCGUACCCCAAACCGACACAGGUGGUCAGGUAGAGAAUACCAAGGCGCUUGAGAGAACUCGGGUGAAGGAACUAGGCAAAAUGGUGCCGUAACUUCGGGAGAAGGCACGCUGAUAUGUAGGUGAAGUCCCUCGCGGAUGGAGCUGAAAUCAGUCGAA